UUAGGCCCUGCACAGAGUCCAGGAGCUCAGACAGCAGGGGAGACAGCUGGAGUUGGAGAGAGCGAGGAGAAGUCUAUAGCAGCCUGGGUGUGUCCUUGUCCCUCUUCAGGUAACCAUAAUAUAGAGCAUUUCUUAAGCUGUGAAGUGAAUAACUAUUCCUGUUUUUCUCAGGUAUGUAUUUUUCUCUUUUUCUAGUUUCACAUUUUUCCCAUAUCACAGAAGGAAACCAAUGUCAAACUUCUUGUACAAUUUUCUCCUUGUUUGUAAGGCUUUGGUUCACACAUGGGACAACCAUUUUGCCUCAUAGAGAAGGCAUAAGAGAUAGUCGAAGCUGUUGUGUGGGCUCAUAGGAGAGAAAUAGAAUAGUGACAACUGAAUAACUGUCUAACUUUGCUCAUUCUUCCUGAAGAGUAUGGACAGCCUUUAGUUGUCCUAAGCCUUGUUAGAAUUGCACCCAUUGGGAGUUCAUUGGAUUGGUGUUUUAUUCCUUUAAAGAUACGCAAAACAACGAAUGUUUAAGGUUGCCAUCAAAGUACAAGACGUAGUGAAGGCUAAGCCACAGGAAAGAGAAGUGUGUGCUCAGCCUGUCAAUAAUUCAGAGAGGCUAGAAAAAAUGCAAAGAGUGCAAAAAGAUGCAAGAAGUUAAAAAAUGAAUUACAAGAAACACGGGAAAAAAAAAAAAAACUAUCAUUUACCAAGAAACACAUUAUUGGCGGUACCCCAGAAGCCCAUUCCUAAUUAUUUCCCUUCUGUUUCUGUCUCCAAGUGUGGAGCUUGUCUGUCCUUUGUUUUAAACUUUUGCCGCUGUGUCUGUGUCCCUAAGCAGCACCAUUAAGCUCCCUGCUCUUGACUUUGUGUAAAUGGAGUCACAUUCUCUGCUACUCUUGUAAAUCCUCCUUUCAUCCCACUGUUAUGCUGUGAGAUCCAUCCACCUUGCGAUGGGUAGCUAGAGGAUGUCAUGCAUUUUCUUUACUCCACAGCAUUCUAAAGUAUGUGAAUAGCACAAUUCACAUCCAUUCUAUGUCAGGUAACCAGUUCUUUCUAGUUUGUAGCCCUGUGGGGCCAUAUUCAGUAUUCCUAAGCUUUCUCUAACAUGCUCCCCUCUUUCUGCUCUGCUCUUCUGAACACUCAGGGACAUUCUGUUCUCCUGUUACUCAUUUUCUUCUGCUUAUUCUCUACUCCAGGGAACUGUGUGUAAAGAUUUUCACUGGCAAUUGACAAUAUACAUCAUGCUAAGGGCUGAAGGAGGGAUAAGAAUGAAAAG
rnacentral:lncRNA from 1 species